UACGUAGGGUGCGAGCGUUAAUCGGAAUUACUGGGCGUAAAGCGUGCGCAGGUGGUCAUGCAAGACAGAUGUGAAAUCCCCGGGCUUAACCUGGGAACUGCAUUUGUGACUGCACGGCUAGAGUGCGGCAGAGGGGGAUGGAAUUCCGCGUGUAGCAGUGAAAUGCGUAGAUAUGCGGAGGAACACCGAGGGCGAAGGCAAUCCCCUGGGCCUGCACUGACGCUCAUGCACGAAAGCGUGGGGAGCAAACAGA
rnacentral:rRNA from 1 species